AUGGAGCCCCUGGGCAGGCGUGCGGGGGGCAGCAGGGUGCAGGGGACAAGGGGAGCGGGGGGACAGCAGGGUGCAGGAGACAGCAGGGGUGGGCAGCAGGGGGGGGGGUCAGGAGGGGGGGGGGGGGAGGGGGGGGGGGGGUUCAGCACUCACAGUCACAGCGCAGGGCGCGCUCCCGCACGGCGGCUCCGCACAGGUCGCACCAGCCGCGGCGCAGGGCGCGGGGCACGAAGCGGUGGCCGUGACCGUGGCCGCUGUCCGGGGGCUCCCCGGGGGCCGGGAAGAUGCUGCGCACAUCGGGCAGCAGCCGCGGGACCCCCCCGCGCCGCCGCAACCGCCGCGCCCCCCUCGCCCCGCCGGGGCUCCCCGGCCCCCGGCCGCCCCCCGGCUCCGGGGCGCUGGGAGCGGGGCCCGACGGCCGCCGCAUGGUGCCGGGAGGGGGGCACGGCUCCAAACACCCACCCCCCCCCCGGCCCCAGAAGCUCGCAACCCCACGGCCACGCCACGGGCUCCCGGCACGGGGCAGCGCAGGCGCCUUGGCCCGGCCCCGGGGAGGAGACAGGGCCGGGGGGGGGCGGCGUGGGAGCGGCCACUGUGGGAUUCCCACGGGGAACCCCCCCCCGGGACGGCUGCCCCCAUUGCCACCCUCCGGACCCCUCCCCAAGCCCUUGCGCCCCCCACGGAAAGGGCUUUCCCCACCCCCGGGGGGGUUCUCCCAGCGGGAACCUUCCCCGUGGGACCCCCCCCACGCUCUCCCGAGACCCCUCCCCACGGGACGCGGCUCCCCGUGGGCCCGAUGCUGGCUGGGGGCAGCGCACAGCACCCCCGGCCCUGGUGCUGCAGCCGGGGCGGGCAGCCCCCAGCACAGAGCUGGGGGGCAGCAGCAGCAUCCCCACCCCCGGCAGUACCCCCAUCCCCAGCAGCAUCCCCAGCCCCAGGUUUGCCCCCCCCAGCAGCAGGAGGAGCACCCCUAAGGUGCUGCUUUAUGUACGGUCACUAACACCUGGGUGCAGGCACACAGCACAGCACACAGCCCUCUCCUCGCUCAGUGACUGCACGGCCCCUGUAAGGGCAGCUGGAGCCAAUUCCCCUUCCCCACCGUAA
rnacentral:lncRNA from 1 species